rnacentral:rRNA from 1 species
UCGUGUCCUUAGUAGACAGACGUGACGCGACGUCGACGUUGGAAGUCCAUUUGCUGUACACUUGGAGGUAAGAACUACGUAUAAUGGGGUAACUGCGGAGCGGUUAAGCAAAGUCCAGACCCCGCACUAGAGAGAGGGUUCUCUACCCACCGCGCCGCAGCUCCGAGCGGCGGGGCUAUUUCGUGGCCGCCCACCUCUCCCUCGACCUGUUGUUCCACCGCCUCCGCGACGCCCUCGCCCGGUUCCGCUCCUGCUUCUGCAAGGCCAGCCACUUGUCGUAGUGGUACGCGGAGGGAGCGAAGUUCCUGCCGGAGUUCCUGUAGGCCCUGCAGAAGCUGGUGAUGCUGUGCCUGAGGUUGCCCUGCUAGCUGUUGCUCCUCGACGCCUCGACGGACUCGUUCGAGCUCCACGCCUACAGCCUCUUCCUCCGGCUGCUGCACGUGGCGAUGACGCUGCAGCUGUCGGCGUUCCCAUAGGUCAAGGUCCUCAAGCAGCAGGAGUAUACGGAAUACAUGGACGAGAAGCCGGGGUUGCAGUGUGCGGCCCAAAGGCUCAAGCUCAGCCUCUUCGAGUUGAUGUAGAAGCUGCUCGAGUAGCUGCGGAAGGAGAAGAAGUUGUCCCUGCCGCUGCCGUUCCACUGGUCCUUUCUGCAGUGGGUCUCCUACUUGCUCCUCAGACUGGCCCUCUCCUGCGGGUGGGUGUAUUGGUGUGUCGAGAAGUUCCUCUACCUGGACUUGUUCUUGCCGUUCCACUUGGAGUUCCUCAAGGAGAAGAGGUACUAGUCUACCCGACCCGAGCUCGGACUCCUUCCUCUACUUUCGUUGCUGUGAAGAGGGAUCAGAUAAACUCCGGAGAAGAGGAGUAGUCAAACAGUUUUAUCUACUUGUUAGUGGUUAACGUUCAAUUAGGAUGCAAAAUACUCUUCCACGGUAGACAAUACCGUAGUAAUCAAUUGGAACUUACAAGUCCCGUCUACCUUGAAUUACAUAUGUGUCGUCUGUCGUAUCACCGAUUCUCUGACGUAGAGGUUUCAAACAUAUCAUGC